AGAAUAUGUAAACAAGGCUUGCCGGAAGCGGAGCUGCCUCUUAUGAGAGGAGGUGAAGUAGUAACUAAACAAAAGGGCUCCCAAAGAAAACAAAACUGAACUGAACUGCUUGUGGAUUAAAUGCUGUUCCACCAGAGAGGAGAGGAACAGCGGGAUGGAGAGAGAGAAAGCUCUUGGGGGAAACGAAGAUGUCAGUUGGGAUGUUUUCAAGCAAUCAAGACAACAGGAAGCAGCUCUCUCAUGAUUCCAACUGGCACCAGGCAUCAGGAAUACAUUUAACACCAGAAAGACCGACAACUCUAAUGUUGGAUGGAUGUUGGAAAACUGGCUAGCAUCAUACAGAUGUUAAAUUUGGUUUGGAAUCAGUUACAUAUCCAUAAAAACCCAACACUGAGUUGACACCAAGCUCCAGCGCUUGACAGAUCUUGUAUUUUGGUGGGACAUCAAAGCCUCAAAUCCAUCAAAAACCAAUACUGGGCUGAUGUCAAGCACCAACAUUAGACAGAUGUUGAGUUUUGAUAGAAUGGGAGUCACAUCUCCAGUGUAGACACCAUGACUGAACCAAUAAUGUAUUAAGUUGUGCAGUUAAGCUUAUAAAGUUUAGAAGAUGUUGUGUUUUGGUCAAUAUACUGUACCUCACUACUAAAUAUUGGUAUUGUUUGUCAAUAUGACAUUGGAUUAUGGUAGGUUAACAACACAAAAUAAACUAUAUAUCAAUUACAGCCAUCAUCACUGUUCUACCUAAAUUGGAAUAAAAUAUUUUAGCAUUAAAAUGUGGUAAUCUAAA